GUGCCGGUAGCCUAGUGGUCAGGCAUUCGUUUAUGGAACGAAAACGCACCCGGUUUCUCCACUCGGGCGAUGACAUUUUCACGAAUCGGCUCUGCCCCGGCACG
rnacentral:tRNA from 1 species